GAAAUGCGAUAAGUAAUGUGAAUUGCAGAAUUCAGUGAAUCAUCGAAUCUUUGAACGCACAUUGCGCCCGCCAGUAUUCUGGCGGGCAUGCCUGUUCGAGCGUCAUUUCAACCAUCAAGCCCCGGGCUUGUGUUGGGGACCUGCGGCUGCCGCAGGCCCUGAAAACCAGUGGCGGGCUCGCUGUCACACCGAGCGUAGUAGAUUCUCAUCUCGCUCAGGGCGUGCUGCGGGUUCCGCCCGUAAAACAGCCUUAUUUUACCCAAGGUUGACCUCGGAUCAGGUAGGAAGACCCGCUGAACUUAAGC
rnacentral:misc_RNA from 1 species